CUCCAUUCAAAGCAACCAUUAAUGUACCACCUACUAGUUUUUUUCUUUCUUCCAAUAUUAUGAUAAAAACGAGGCGAGGGAAAGUUAAUACAAAACUGUGAAAUAAACCUUUCUCUCUCUAAAACCUCUAACCUCUCACUAGAAGUUCGAUCUUGCGUUUGUGUUCCGGUGGCCGUCGGCUUCAUCGCCGUCGGUUACCGCUCUGUUUUUGUUUUCUGAUUAGUUCCGAUCUAUAGUCGGAACCACCUCCGGCUUCUCCGGCUUUUAGUCUAACUUUGUACAUCUCCGUUUUGUUCGGUUUAUGCUGCGACUAGAGUCGGUUUAUUUUCUCUCUCACCUUUUGCAUGUUUGUAUGAUCUUUCCGCUCUGUUCAGGAGAGUGAUAAGCCGGGUGUUAGAUCGGCUUUUGCUUUUCACUGGUUUUGCUUGAUUGUUUCUUCAUCGAAGAGUAAUCCUUCGUUUGUGUUAUAUGAGCAGUUAGAACGAAGUAUCUUCAUGUUAGAUACAUCAAGUGAUUCAGAUUAUUGGGUGAUUUACACGAAGAUUUAGAGAUGUUGGUCGUGUUCUGACGGUGCUCUGAAGAGUGCUAAGACCUCAAUCAUCUGCGGUUUUAAUUUAUUCUGGUGGUUAAGCAAGAUCUGACUCUUGAACCGGAGAAAGCAAAAGGUGUUCAUUCAGUUUCAAAGGUAGAAGUUUAGGUGUCUGAAGUGAAGAUCAAAGACCUUAAGCUUCUUUGGACAUGGCUCAUACGACGAUGCAAGCGGCGAAGCGACGGUCAGAGUUAAUCAAGAUGUGGUGAUGAUCACGACUACGUGGCUCUCCUGAAUCAAGAGAUAAUGGGGGACACGUGCCAUAGUUGAUUUCAUCCUUAUCAUUUUUAUCUUUUGGGUUUGUAAUGAGUUUAAUCUGUAAAAGGUUCUGUCCGCCGCUUUCGAAACUGAUUUGUAAAACUGGCCUAUGUGGCUUUUAUAUAAUAUGACACAGCAAAAAAAAUAAAAAAAAGUUAAUACAGAACUGAAUAGUUCCAUCAAAAUAUAAAAUGAAAUAAUUGUGAGUAUUAGUGAAAUUUCAAAACUCAUUAGAUAACAAAUAUGAAGGAUGCUGGAAUGGGGCCUUGUUCCUGAACCCACCGACCCAACCAAAACUACUGUAAUUGAAUUGACUCCCAACACUGAAGCUCCUAGAAUCAUUGAUAAGUGACAAAAAUCAUUCAGUUUAUCCUAUAUCAUUAUUAUAUGAUUUUAUAAAGUUGGUAUUUUUUUUACAAGAAAUAUCUAAAGUUCAGUGUGCAUGGUGGCAUGCACCUCGACCUAUGCCUACGCUACAUACAUGUUAUUGUUCUUACGUGGUCAUAUAGCUUCGUAUAUUUAUGCUCGUUUAAUUUUAAAUACGUUCAACUUUUCAGCUAAAACUAUAAAAAUUCGAAAUAAAGUAGAAAAGUUAAGAAAACAACAAAUAACUAAUUUACAUUUAUUACAUCGUGACAACUAGUAGUGUUGGAAGGUCGAGAAUUGUUUACUCUUUCGGAUAUACAUUACAUUACGCCUUUAGAACAACACAUAAGGUAUUUCUGUUUGGAUAAGUAUUUUAUAUCAGUUUUUUGGGUCUGAAUAUAUAUCUGUAGGUUUAUUAUGUACCAAAAGAGAAAACCGUACAGAGGACACGUAAGUGUCUUGGAGUUGGGAGUUUUUUUUAAACCGUUGAAAGGGAGAAGAAGAGAGUAAAGGCUCUUGGGUGAAGCAGUGGCCCAACCAUUUACCUAUACGUUUCCGCUUUGGUUCUAUUCCGGCGAGUGGUCCCUUUCUUUCAAGAGAGAAUCUAGAGACCCCCUUUUCAUCACCGUACGCGUGUUUCAAUCGUAUUUACUAUUGAAGCAAAUUUAGAUUGAAGUUAGGUCGAGUUGCCUCUCACUCUCAUCACUCUUUAAGUCAACCAUGACAAAGAAUCAACUGGUCUCAGUUGUAAAAUUGUAACUGGUGCAGUGGUGCUUGCUUACAAAAUGAAUAACGCAAUUUCUUAUUUAUUUUGGUAAAAAUUAUUAAUGUCAUCGUUUAUUACCGAAUCUUACCUGGUUUUCACUUGGAUAUUGGUUAUUCUCGUUUGGUUUUCAUUUCAAUAACUGUGAUCUUUGCAUCACUUCUUUUUAAUAAAGUUUGAAAGUUGCUUUUAUAUGUGUCUGAUUACAAUUCGAUGUGUAUAUUUUUAUGUUUGCCUUUUGUAUACAUAGUAGCUUUACGACCUGUUUUUAGGUUAACGUACAUGGCAUUAUUCAUAAAGAGGCUGAGUAGUAAUACAAUACCAAGUUUUUAGUAGUGUCUAAGCAAGUAUAAGUUAGUGUUUCAGAACCGAAACCCGGUUAAGAACCGAAACCCGAAAGUAUAUCGGGUUUAGUCGGAUCUUCGGUAUGUUACCAAACCCGGACCGAACCUGACUAAACCCGAACUGAGACCGAUCCGAACUUUAAAAAGACCCGAAUGGGGCUGAUUUUUGUAAACCCGACACCCGAUUAGACCCGAACCGAAACCCGAUUGGAACACCGAAUGCCCAUGCCUAUUAAAUACUAAACUCACAAGUCAUAAAGAUUUCCAGAUCCUACUGUUUUUCGAUUAGUGAAAUCUAUAAUAGUCAGUAUGACUUUUCCCCUAUGUCUUUGUUUUUUGUUUAAGUUUUUCCCUGCUCUUUUGUAACAUAUAUAUGUGAAAAUCUAUAUUCUAUCAAUUUAGAGUCAUACUUUUAAUCGAUGUUGAAAGUUGUCAUUUAACUUUAGAACAUAUUGAUACCUAACUUAAUAUUAACUAAUUAAUUAAUUAAAAUCGACCUUCUUUUAAACAAUACUUUUGUUAUUUAAUACAAAUAAAAAACAACUAGAGCUUGAUUCGUGCAUCUUCACGGGUGUGUUUUAAUAGAAUAGGCAUAUGAAAUUCUUCGAAACACAAAUGCAACAAUGGCACAAAUAUACAUAUUUCAAUUUGUAAUAUAUAACAUGUAUGAUAGUUCGACGGCUCUUAAUUGUCUGUAAUUGUUUUGUUACUCAUAUUGCGGUUGAAUAUAAAAUCAAUCAAAAUGAUAUUUUAUAUAAUACAUACAUAUUCACCAAUUAUUUUGUUUGUGUACAUUAAUAAAUCUAUCUUUUCAAAAUAAAAUAUUUUAUGUCUAUUCUGCUUUAGUAAGAUAUAUAAAUAUGUUUCUAAAUUUUGUAUAUGCCAAAUAAAUUCCACUUCUAUUUUUAUUUUAAACUAAAAUUUAUUUGUUGUAUUCUUAUAGUUAAAAUAUAUAUAUGUGUGGAUUAUAUUAAUCAUCAAGGUAUUUAACAUAUAUUUGAAAAUUAACUUUAUAUGUUUUAUUAAAGAAAUUCUAAUUUAUAUUUUGUAUGUAAAAUUAAAUAAUAAUAUACAUGAAUAUAUAAUAUUUAAAGCUCGUAUGUUACAUUUUAAAUAAAAUUUUAAAUUUUAUUGUAAAAUUUGACUAGAGAAUAAUCCGUUUAUAGAAGAAUUGUUAGUUUGGUAAGUUUGGAUAGAGAAAAAUCCAACAAAAAAAAUUAUUUGUAGUUAAUUAAUUAAUAAAUAUUAAUUUAGUGGUAUAAGUUAUAAUUAUUAAAACGAAAGAAGAGAAGUUACUUAAACUACCAUAUUACUAAUACUACUUUUCAUGUUUACCUUAACACAUUUACCCUUAGUCUUAAAAAGUUAAAUAGACGCUUAUAAGUUAUAACCGUGGGGUUAAUAAAUUUAGACAUAAAAUUUAGAUUUGAGAGGUUAGGUUUUGGAAUGUGAUGUUUAAGAUUUUUUAAUAAAUAUAUAAAUAAAUUUUUAAUUUUUUUUGUUAAAAAUAGUUUCAAAAUGAUUUUUGAAUUUUAAAAGGAAAAUUUGAAAAAAUAAUUUAAAAAUUAUAAAAGGUUCGAAUUUGAAAAUGUUAAUUCGAAAAAUAUAAAAACAAAUAUUUCUUAUUAUUUAUUUACAUAAUAAUUUAUAUUUAUAUAUCUAUAAAGUAGAUGUAAAAUGGUGUUUUGCCUCUUUAAUGAAAAAAAUAUUUGUGAAUGUCCCUUUAAUAAAAGUAAAGAUGAAUUGUGCUACAAAACAUGGGGUAAACUUGAAUAGAUACAAAUUUUGUAGACUUGCUUCAAUACAAAUUAAACUCUUUCGUUUAUGGAAGUGAACGUUAACACAUUUCUCUCUCUAAAACCUCUAACCUCUCACUAGAAGUUCGAUCUUGCGUUUGUGUUCCGGUGGCCGUCGGCUUCAUCGCCGUCGGUUACCGCUCUGUUUUUGUUUUCUGAUUAGUUCCGAUCUAUAGUCGGAACCACCUCCGGCUUCUCCGGCUUUUAGUCUAACUUUGUACAUCUCCGUUUUGUUCGGUUUAUGCUGCGACUAGAGUCGGUUUAUUUUCUCUCUCACCUUUUGCAUGUUUGUAUGAUCUUUCCGCUCUGUUCAGGAGAGUGAUAAGCCGGGUGUUAGAUCGGCUUUUGCUUUUCACUGGUUUUGCUUGAUUGUUUCUUCAUCGAAGAGUAAUCCUUCGUUUGUGUUAUAUGAGCAGUUAGAACGAAGUAUCUUCAUGUUAGAUACAUCAAGUGAUUCAGAUUAUUGGGUGAUUUACACGAAGAUUUAGAGAUGUUGGUCGUGUUCUGACGGUGCUCUGAAGAGUGCUAAGACCUCAAUCAUCUGCGGUUUUAAUUUAUUCUGGUGGUUAAGCAAGAUCUGACUCUUGAACCGGAGAAAGCAAAAGGUGUUCAUUCAGUUUCAAAGGUAGAAGUUUAGGUGUCUGAAGUGAAGAUCAAAGACCUUAAGCUUCUUUGGACAUGGCUCAUACGACGAUGCAAGCGGCGAAGCGACGGUCAGAGUUAAUCAAGAUGUGGUGAUGAUCACGACUACGUGGCUCUCCUGAAUCAAGAGAUAAUGGGGGACACGUGCCAUAGUUGAUUUCAUCCUUAUCAUUUUUAUCUUUUGGGUUUGUAAUGAGUUUAAUCUGUAAAAGGUUCUGUCCGCCGCUUUCGAAACUGAUUUGUAAAACUGGCCUAUGUGGCUUUUAUAUAAUAUGACACAGCAAAAAAAAUAAAAAAAAGUUAAUACAGAACUGAAUAGUUCCAUCAAAAUAUAAAAUGAAAUAAUUGUGAGUAUUAGUGAAAUUUCAAAACUCAUUAGAUAACAAAUAUGAAGGAUGCUGGAAUGGGGCCUUGUUCCUGAA
rnacentral:lncRNA from 1 species